GAGGGUAUAGCUUAGUGGUAGAAUGUGUGCUUAGCGUGCACAAGGUCCUGGGUUCAAUCCCCAGUACCUCCU
rnacentral:tRNA from 1 species